AGCGCAGUGUCAGCGUCAUCCACCAACCGGCGACUGGCGGCCCGCUGACGUCAGGCCAACCGUUGGCCAAUGGACGGCCGAUGUGGCUGCGUUCGACCAAUCGGAGUAUACCGUGGUGCCACACCGAGGAUAAGGCCCCUGAGGGCAAGGAAAGAAGCAUCGUGAUCAUCCCUCGCCGCACCAUCCACAUCGGCACCACUGAUGCCUGAAGCUGUGUAUCGCCCGGCCAGCUCUGAACACUGGAACCAGGGCGCGAACGGUACCCCAGAGCGGCCAGGCGACAAAACGCUGCGUCGAUAAUGUGCUUGCUCGUGAACAGACGCCUCCCAGUGUCUGAGCUGAUAUCACACGGAUCGCGACAUUGUUCGCGGACGUCUUGGCUGUGCUCCACGAAGCCUGGGUUAUCAACACCGCGCGAGCUCCUUUACGGCCCGGCUUGUCAUGUCAGGACCGUGAGAUCGCCGCUUCGAAUCUAACCCAUGGAUGUUUUCGGUAUUCUCCCGGCACGAUCUGCGCGAGGCAUCGCGAAUGUUCCCACCGCAGGAGGGGCAUGCGUCGUGAAACAGCCUGCCCUGGCGCAUGGUCGUCUAACGCGUGCAGAUCAGUGCGGUGCACCGAGGCGACGUUAGUCGUGAUUAUCCGCGCAGUUAUUCGUCAUCAUACACGCCCAAGCAUGCGUCCGUAUAUCAGUGUUAUGUUCGCAGUUUACCUCGUGUGUAUCUCGGUGUUAUGUUCACAAUUGAACUCUUCUAUAUCUCAGUGUUAUGUUCACAAUUCAGUUAUGCGUCGUAAUGCGAUGUUGUCAAUAUCUGGGUAGUGGCACGCGGCGAGUGGUGGUGUUCCUGGAAUGCUUCAGAUGUGUUGGGCACUUCCUGUCCUAUUUAUGGUCACAGCUGGCGUCAGUGGCACUUUGAUCAGGCGGAAAAGCUACAUUUCAGUUCAGUUUACUGUCGGCACACUAGGUCAUUGUCAUGCGGUGAGAGGAAUACUGUGUGGAUAAUCUCCUUCACAUAUAGCAUUUUGCUUCGGGUGUUCAUUUCUGUACCACAGGAUAUAGGUCCUCAACCGAACUUAUUAUUUUGCAACCAUGUAUGUGUGAUGUGCUCUGCUUGGCUUCUCAUCCAGUCCCAUGUGUCCUUUUACACCUCGUUUUUAAACGCAUCUGCCAGUCAAGGCCGGCUUCAACGUUUGGCGUCACCUGACGUGCAUCCUCGGAGCUCCUCCCACUCAGCGGUUCCUUGGCGUGCCUGAUGUUGGAGCCCCCGAUACUCGCGUCAGAGAGACAUGAGAGCGUGGUUGGCAGAACGCCGACUCUCACGCGGCAGGCCUGCGCUCGUCUCCAGACUAUAGCUGUGGGAGCAGCGACUGCGGGCUGUUGGUCAGCGUCGUAGCAACACAACAUACGGUGCAGUACAUCACAACGCCACCAGUGCGCUGAUACCACGCGGCCAAAACCAGGCAGUCACUGCGCUCGGUAAUCGUUGCGUUCCGCCGUGCACCUUACAUAUCUAGCUUCAGCGGAAUCUUUGCGAAAAGAGAUGCUGGUCCUUAUUCGUUUCGUGCGCCAAUGUCAGUGGAGAGCGGUGGCCUGCUCCACUGCUGUGUGGUAGGCGCUGUGCGCUUCGCCGCUUCUCGCGGCCCUGCACUAUGUCCGCGGUUGCGCGACUCGCGCUGUGCGAUGUGUCCGCGGUUGCGCGACUAAUGCUGUGCGCUGUGUCCGCGGCUGCGCGACUCAUGCUGUGCGCUGUGUCCGCGGUUGCGUGACUCGCGCUGUGCGCUGUGUCCGCUGUUGCGCGACUCGCUCUGUGCGCUGUGCUCUGCGGCAAAAUGUGAUUGGUGCUGAGGGAACUGCCGUGCUGCGUCGGGAUUGGGCAACCAUAUUUUGGGGCUGCGGCUUGGUGUAGCUUUAUAGAUAUCAGUGUCGUAUUCAUCUGUGGGCUGUGCCGAAAUAGCCAAUAUCAAACACCAUUCUAGCAGUGUUCCAUGUCUCGGUGGGCGUUCUGCGCCGGGUUUGUCAAGAUCUGUUCGCUUGUGUUCAAUGGGCGCAAUACAG
rnacentral:lncRNA from 1 species